UUUCCUCCCGAGUGCUUGCACUCAAUUGGAAAGAGGAGUGGCGGACGGGUGAGUAACACGUGGGUAACCUACCCAUCAGAGGGGUAUAACACUUGGAAACAGGUGCUAAUACCGCAUAACAGUUUAUGCCGCAUGGCAUAAGAGUGAAAGGCGCUUUCGGGUGUCGCUGAUGGAUGGACCCGCGGUGCAUUAGCUAGUUGGUGAGGUAACGGCUCACCAAGGCCACGAUGCAUAGCCGACCUGAGAGGGUGAUCGGCCACACUGGGACUGAGACACGGCCCAGACUCCUACGGGAGGCAGCAGUAGGGAAUCUUCGGCAAUGGACGAAAGUCUGACCGAGCAACGCCGCGUGAGUGAAGAAGGUUUUCGGAUCGUAAAACUCUGUUGUUAGAGAA
rnacentral:rRNA from 1 species